rnacentral:rRNA from 1 species
CCCCUAGAUGUUCUGGGCCGCACGCGCGCUACCCUGAACAGUUCAACAAGUCUUAACCUUGGCCGAUAGGUCUGGGUAAUCUUUGAACGCUGUUCGUGAUUGGGAUAGACCUUUGCAAUUAUGGGUCUUCAACGAGGAAUUCCUAGUAAACGCAAGUCAUCAGCUUGCAUUGAUUACGUCCCUGCCCUUUGUACACACCGCCCGUCGCACCUACCGAUUGAAUGGUCCGGUGAAAUCUCGGGACGGCGGCUCGGUCGCUUGCGUCCGACUGCUGAAACUUGAUUAAACCAUAUCAUUUAGAGGAAGGUGAAGUCGUAACA